UUUAUCGGAGCUAAACAAGACGGUGCGAUUGGUGACUACACUGUCGGGUAUCUUGGAUCGGCAUCAGUCACCUAUGAGUUUGCACGGGAAGCGUGUGCACUGGUCAACCUGACGCUGUUCACAGCGAAGGAGAUCCGCCUAGCCUACACCAAGAUCUCAUUGAUCCGUUCAUUCGUCGACAGCGCUAGAGGCCAUCAUCUCGCCGUCAGGCGUAACGUUGCUGAACCCCCUCAGUUCAUCUUGGAGGGUGGCACGCUCGCUUUCGCCGCCUAUCUGGACCUGCCACACUUUUCACCUACUGACGGAAAGCAGUCCUACUUGGUUCUCUGUGGACGUGGAGAUUGGUCUGUCCUCCGGGAGGACUGACUGGAUCAUGUUCAUGGCGGAUUUAAGGUAUGACGUCACACUUGUAAGCAGAGUACGAGUGUCUCACAAAUGAAUGAGUGAAAGAAGAUCAAGAAAGCGUGCUGAACCGGACAAUGUUCAACACCUUCUAUGGGGACUUUUCGAAGUUCAAUCUCUUCAAUCUAGAUUUACACUGCAUGUACUUCUUUGUUAGUACUUUUCAUGCAUUCUUAACCCCGCACACAGUUAUACAACUCUGUUACC